GGUUAAGCGACUAAGCGUACACGGUGGAUGCCCUGGCAGUCAGAGGCGAUGAAGGACGUGCUAAUCUGCGAUAAGCGUCGGUAAGGUGAUAUGAACCGUUAUAACCGGCGAUUUCCGAAUGGGGAAACCCAGUGUGAUUCGUCACACUAUCAUUAACUGAAUCCAUAGGUUAAUGAGGCGAACCGGGGGAACUGAAACAUCUAAGUACCCCGAGGAAAAGAAAUCAACCGAGAUUCCCCCAGUAGCGGCGAGCGAACGGGGAGGAGCCCAGAGCCUGAAUCAGUGUGUGUGUUAGUGGAAGCGUCUGGAAAGGCGCGCGAUACAGGGUGACAGCCCCGUACACAAAAAUGCACAUGCUGUGAGCUCGAUGAGUAGGGCGGGACACGUGGUAUCCUGUCUGAAUAUGGGGGGACCAUCCUCCAAGGCUAAAUACUCCUGACUGACCGAUAGUGAACCAGUACCGUGAGGGAAAGGCGAAAAGAACCCCGGCGAGGGGAGUGAAAAAGAACCUGAAACCGUGUACGUACAAGCAGUGGGAGCACGCUUAGGCGUGUGACUGCGUACCUUUUGUAUAAUGGGUCAGCGACUUAUAUUCUGUAGCAAGGUUAACCGAAUAGGGGAGCCGAAGGGAAACCGAGUCUUAACUGGGCGUUAAGUUGCAGGGUAUAGACCCGAAACCCGGUGAUCUAGCCAUGGGCAGGUUGAAGGUUGGGUAACACUAACUGGAGGACCGAACCGACUAAUGUUGAAAAAUUAGCGGAUGACUUGUGGCUGGGGGUGAAAGGCCAAUCAAACCGGGAGAUAGCUGGUUCUCCCCGAAAGCUAUUUAGGUAGCGCCUCGUGAAUUCAUCUCCGGGGGUAGAGCACUGUUUCGGCAAGGGGGUCAUCCCGACUUACCAACCCGAUGCAAACUGCGAAUACCGGAGAAUGUUAUCACGGGAGACACACGGCGGGUGCUAACGUCCGUCGUGAAGAGGGAAACAACCCAGACCGCCAGCUAAGGUCCCAAAGUCAUGGUUAAGUGGGAAACGAUGUGGGAAGGCCCAGACAGCCAGGAUGUUGGCUUAGAAGCAGCCAUCAUUUAAAGAAAGCGUAAUAGCUCACUGGUCGAGUCGGCCUGCGCGGAAGAUGUAACGGGGCUAAACCAUGCACCGAAGCUGCGGCAGCGACACUAUGUGUUGUUGGGUAGGGGAGCGUUCUGUAAGCCUGUGAAGGUGUGCUGUGAGGCAUGCUGGAGGUAUCAGAAGUGCGAAUGCUGACAUAAGUAACGAUAAAGCGGGUGAAAAGCCCGCUCGCCGGAAGACCAAGGGUUCCUGUCCAACGUUAAUCGGGGCAGGGUGAGUCGACCCCUAAGGCGAGGCCGAAAGGCGUAGUCGAUGGGAAACAGGUUAAUAUUCCUGUACUUGGUGUUACUGCGAAGGGGGGACGGAGAAGGCUAUGUUGGCCGGGCGACGGUUGUCCCGGUUUAAGCGUGUAGGCUGGUUUUCCAGGCAAAUCCGGAAAAUCAAGGCUGAGGCGUGAUGACGAGGCACUACGGUGCUGAAGCAACAAAUGCCCUGCUUCCAGGAAAAGCCUCUAAGCAUCAGGUAACAUCAAAUCGUACCCCAAACCGACACAGGUGGUCAGGUAGAGAAUACCAAGGCGCUUGAGAGAACUCGGGUGAAGGAACUAGGCAAAAUGGUGCCGUAACUUCGGGAGAAGGCACGCUGAUAUGUAGGUGAAGUCCCUCGCGGAUGGAGCUGAAAUCAGUCGAAGAUACCAGCUGGCUGCAACUGUUUAUUAAAAACACAGCACUGUGCAAACACGAAAGUGGACGUAUACGGUGUGACGCCUGCCCGGUGCCGGAAGGUUAAUUGAUGGGGUCAGCGCAAGCGAAGCUCUUGAUCGAAGCCCCGGUAAACGGCGGCCGUAACUAUAACGGUCCUAAGGUAGCGAAAUUCCUUGUCGGGUAAGUUCCGACCUGCACGAAUGGCGUAAUGAUGGCCAGGCUGUCUCCACCCGAGACUCAGUGAAAUUGAACUCGCUGUGAAGAUGCAGUGUACCCGCGGCAAGACGGAAAGACCCCGUGAACCUUUACUAUAGCUUGACACUGAACAUUGAGCCUUGAUGUGUAGGAUAGGUGGGAGGCUUUGAAGUGUGGACGCCAGUCUGCAUGGAGCCGACCUUGAAAUACCACCCUUUAAUGUUUGAUGUUCUAACGUUGACCCGUAAUCCGGGUUGCGGACAGUGUCUGGUGGGUAGUUUGACUGGGGCGGUCUCCUCCUAAAGAGUAACGGAGGAGCACGAAGGUUGGCUAAUCCUGGUCGGACAUCAGGAGGUUAGUGCAAUGGCAUAAGCCAGCUUGACUGCGAGCGUGACGGCGCGAGCAGGUGCGAAAGCAGGUCAUAGUGAUCCGGUGGUUCUGAAUGGAAGGGCCAUCGCUCAACGGAUAAAAGGUACUCCGGGGAUAACAGGCUGAUACCGCCCAAGAGUUCAUAUCGACGGCGGUGUUUGGCACCUCGAUGUCGGCUCAUCACAUCCUGGGGCUGAAGUAGGUCCCAAGGGUAUGGCUGUUCGCCAUUUAAAGUGGUACGCGAGCUGGGUUUAGAACGUCGUGAGACAGUUCGGUCCCUAUCUGCCGUGGGCGCUGGAGAAUUGAGGGGGGCUGCUCCUAGUACGAGAGGACCGGAGUGGACGCAUCACUGGUGUUCGGGUUGUCAUGCCAAUGGCACUGCCCGGUAGCUAAAUGCGGAAGAGAUAAGUGCUGAAAGCAUCUAAGCACGAAACUUGCCCCGAGAUGAGUUCUCCCUGACUCCUUGAGAGUCCUGAAGGAACGUUGAAGACGACGACGUUGAUAGGCCGGGUGUGUAAGCGCAGCGAUGCGUUGAGCUAACCGGUACUAAUGAACCGUGAGGCUUAACCUU
rnacentral:rRNA from 1 species